rnacentral:lncRNA from 1 species
AAUGAAAUGGUUCGUUUUACUAAAACGAAGAACAAAACAGCAGGGGACCCAUUUACACAUGCAUCGACGCACUUUGUGAUGAGGUGGCGAUCUGCAAGGACUUUCCACUCUUUCACUUUAGGUUACAACCUACGUGAUGACAUGAGAUGAGAUGUUCUAGCAUUACUAUUGAAUCCGUGACUCUACACACAAAAUCCAAAUAUGGUAUAUUUUUCUAGCUACGUUUUUGGUGAUCUAUUUGUUAGUGUUUUCCUAGCUAAGUUUUAAAAUCCGAUUAACAGAUUAAUUAGAUGCCAUACAUGGCCUAUACUUAUCAAAUUUUAUCACCACCAAUCAAAAUAUUUGCUAGGGGCCUAACUAAAAAGAGUUUGUAUAGAUAAUAUACAUUUAUUGACAUAUAUACGAUAUUAUCUACAUUAAAGGGUGUGGAAAUGUAAUAUAUAUACGCACGUUGUGGAGCCAAAAAUAAUCAUAAGGCGACACGUGGAUUUUUGGGUGAAGAUGACAAAUUUACCCUCGAGGCAUACCAGGUCUCCUACACGCGAGCAGUGGAGAAUCAUCCAUCAACCAAAUCAGGAGUACCC